GAGAGCCGAAGAUUGAAGCUUGAAGAAGUCCAGCGUUUCAGAUCAGAUGAGGAGCACUGGCUGGUAAAUGAAGAAGGAGAAGGAGCAACUGAAGAGGCAGUAGACAAUCCAAACGGAUCUAGUAUCAUGGAAACCAAGUCAGUGGAGGAUCUACUGGAGUGGCAUGGUCAGCUUUGUUGUGCUUUGAUAAGAGGGUCAACUCAGAUUCUCCAAGAAGCAGGCACCAAGACAGAAUUAGAUGUGAAAGAAAUACACUCAGAGAAAUGCUCUUGAAGGAUAAAGACGCCAAGGAGCAAGAGGAACUGUAAAAACCUCCAGAUCAUGUUGCUGUUUUCAAUAGUUCUUUAUAUAGAACUAAAUGAAAUUGUCUGAGUUUUGACAAUUAUAAUAUUUUAUUUCUGAUUAAUCAGAAAAUAGUUUGCCAUAAAAAUUUAUCACUUCUGAUAUUAGCACAUAAAUUUGUUUUUAUUGUAAUUUCAAAACUAAUGUCAAGACUGAGCAAAUCAUAAGAUGGAAGCACCUGUGAGUGCCUGGGACCCUCAAGAUCAUCAAAUCCAGCUUUCCCUGCAGAGAUGGUCUUUCAACUUUUGCCUGAACAUCAUCCUUGUGAGGGAAAUCGUUUCAUCACAAAGCAAUCCAGUUUACUACUGGAACACUGCAAUUAUUUGAAGCAAAACAUCUGGAUCUACUGGAUAACACUGCUCACCAACACUGGUCAUCUUUGUCUUUACCCAAGGCAAGUAUGCCACCUUAUAAAGGACUUUGCACUGGACAUGAUGGUUUACACCCUACUCGAGAGGCUGAAGUGGGAAGAUCAUUUGAGCCCAGGGGUUCAAGACUGCAGUAAGCUAUACUCAUUCCACUGCACUCCAGCCGGGGUGACAGAGUGAGAUCCCCAAUAAUAAUAACAAAUAAAUAAUAAAGGAGUUUGCUUCUGUU
rnacentral:lncRNA from 1 species